ACUCAAAUGAAUUGACGGGGGCCCGCACAAGCGGUGGAGCAUGUGGUUUAAUUCGUUACUAACCGAAGAACCUUACCCAGGCUUGACAUCCCCGGACAGCCCAUGAAAGUGGGUCUCCUCCCUCAAAAGGGGAGGCUGGGUGACAGGUGUUGCAUGGCUGUCGUCAGCUCGUGUCGUGAGAUGUUGGGUUAAGUCCCGCAACGAGCGCAACCCUCAUCGCAUGUUGCCAGCGUAAAGUCGGGCACUCUUGCGAAACUGCCCGUGUAAGCGGGAGGAAGGUGGGGAUGACGUCAAGUCGGCAUGGCCCUUACGCCUGGGGCUACACACAUGCUACAAUGGCCGGUUACAGAGGGCAGCAAUACCGCGAGGUGGAGCAAAUCCCAAAAACCCGGUCUCAGUUCGGAUUGCAGUCUGCAACUCGACUGCAUGAAGUCGGAAUCGCUAGUAACCGCAGGUCAGCUAUACUGCGGUGAAUACGUUCCCGGGCCUUGUACACACCGCCCGU
rnacentral:rRNA from 1 species